CUGUUGCGGAAAGAGCAGCCAAUAAGGUUGGGGUGAGCACAAGAAACGUCCCACGCAGUUUCCAGAGCCAGAGAAGGGUUUCCAUGUCCAGCUGCCACAAGACUGAGAGGUACGCAGUUGAUCUCAAAGCCAGGUACAGGUUGGGUAGUUGUGGCAUCUCCGGUUGUGUAUAGGAAAGCUAAUGUGAACCUCCAAGCUUCAAGAUGUCCUUCAGCCCUGCUUUCAAGUUAGCAAGAUGCCAAGAUCUGUAAGUGAAACUAACUGAGGCCCGUAUGGAGGCUGAAAAGGAGCCUGGAAGAGAAACAGAAGAUGAGAUGACAUGCCAGGAGAAGUUCACAUGAAGAUGGAGGCAAAGAUGGGAGUGAUGCAGCUACAAGCCAAGGAAUGCCGGCAGCCACCAAAGAUGUAGAUAAAAGGAAUGGAAUCUUUCCUAGAGCCUGUGGAGAAAAUGAGGGCUUGCCCAUACUUUGAUUUGGAUUGCUGGCUUCCAGAAUGUCAGAGAAUAACUUUUUUAUUUUAAGUUAUUCAGGUUGUGGAAAUUUAUUAUGGCAGCCACAAGAAACUAAUGCAUUGUCUCCCUCAAGGAAAAGGAGAUCAUCUCCCA